UAGUAUAAUGGACAGUUAGACCAGCCACAGAAACUGAGUUUCUGAUUUUAUUUUUAAAUCUUUGUAUUUUAUUGUUUGAAAAUUUUCUAAAACAAAAAAAUAUAAUUUAGUUAGGGUUUAUGAAUUUUGUCAUAAAUUUUUUCUGUCAUAAAUCGGCACAUAAACUUAGUUUAUGAUGGAGAGAGCAGAUCUUCCAAACCUGGAACCAAUCAUCAAAUUAAAACCGAAAAAUCCAUUCAACAAAUAGAAUCAACAAAAUAGAAUACAGAAUCAACAAAAUCCAUCAACAAAAUGAAGAAUACAGAUGAACUUACACAAAAAAUUACCUGUUAGAGCUAUACACACAUUUAUAGAAUCGUUUCUCAACUCUUGAGAAUUUCUCAUUGAAGCCAAUGGGAUCAUCACCUUCCUCCAACGCACCAGAUUCCCCUUUUAAAUCUCAUUCAUUCUCCCUGUCCUGAAAAGCCUUGCAAAAUUUCACAAAUAAUCCGACCUUCACAGGAGGCGUAUGCUGCUUUUGAGAGUAGGGAGUUUAUCUUUUCUGUCGUAAAAAAUCUGUAUGUCUUCUACGGUCAGAAACGAGAGAACAGAUCUUCCAAGCCAGAACCAGUCAUUAAUAUCCAUUCAAUAAGAGAAGGAGAUGUUCGAUACUAUCACCAUUCAAACACUAAAGGUAAUCAAAAGAAAUUCCAAAAUCUUACCAUGGAAAUGUAAAUGUUGCAGGUUACAUUCAGGUUCGUCCAUGAUUUUACGGAAAGACGAUGAGAUAUUGAAGAAACAGAAAUGAACAAAUCGGAAGUUGAAAUCAGCGGGAAAAAGAAGAUGGUCUUGAUAGUAAUAUCUUCGAUCUAAACAAUAUCUAAACGAGAGAAGGAGAUGUUCAAUACUAUCACCAUUCAAACACCAAAGAUAAUCAAAAGAAAUUCCAAAAUCUUAUCAUGGAAAUGUAAAUGCUGCAGGUUAUAUUCAGGUUCGUCCAUGAUUAUACGGAAAGAAGAUGAGAUAUCGAAGAAACAGAGAUGAACAAAUCAGAAAUUGAAGUCAGCGGAAAAAGAAGAUGGUCUUGAUAGUAAUAUCUUCGAUCUAAACAAUAGGUUCGAUUUGGUUAGGGUUAGGAUUUUCCUGAGAUAUGUAAUGGGCCAAUCUGUUUUUACUAUGGGAUUUUGCAAUCGGUCUAGAGUCCAUCAAGAACAAAAACUGGAAAAGACUACAUAGCGUUACAAUUUUGAUUUAUUAUAAACUUGACUAAAUCGCAG
rnacentral:lncRNA from 1 species